AUUGCACGCUGGCGGCAGGCCUACCCCAUGCAAGUCGAACGAGUGGCGGACGGGUGAGUAAUGUCUGGGAAACUGCCUGAUGGAGGGGGAUAACUACUGGAAACGGUCGCUAAUACCGCAUACCAUCUGAUGUGCCCAGAUGGGAUUAGCUAGUCGGUGGUGUAAAGGCUCACCUAGGCGAAGAUCCCUAGCUGGUCUGAGAGGAUGACCAGCCCAACUGAAACGUAGAUAAGGUACAGACUCCUACGGGAGGCAGCAGUGGGGAAUAUUGCACAAGGGGCGCAAGCCUGAUGCAGCCAUGCCGCGUGUAUGAAGAAGGCCUUCGGGUUGUAAAGUACUUUCAGCGGGGAGGCGUUACCCGCAGAAGAAGCACCGGCUAACUCCGUGCCAGCAGCCGCGGUAAUUC
rnacentral:rRNA from 1 species